UGAGAGUAAAAAGUAUAAGACAAUAAAAAUGGAAACCUUUCACGUCAAUUAGAAUUUAGAACCAUAUCAGUGCUAAUUAAUUCAUUUUUUCUAUAGUAGUGAUUUUUAGCACCAUAAUAAUUUGUUUGCAAGCAUUCUUCAGCUAACUCAUAUGUUUGGGGAUUGCCUUAUUCCGGCCAUCUUCUGAUAACGUCUGAAAAGUAAGGAAAACUCAGGAUAGGUUAUUUUCAAAAUCAUGGUCGACACCCAUAAAACCUAAUAAAACUUAAGGGAAGUUACUUCUGUCCUCUAUGAUUUGGUUCACCAUAUCUUUUUACUAUCUAUCUAAACAUGUACCCUUGCUUUCAAAGUUUAACAAUUACAACCUUUCUAACAAACAAUGUGAGAACUGAGAACAGUUAAACUGUCAUCAUCUAUUGUCUACAUGCCCUACAUACCUAGAUACUUACCCCAAGGUCAUAGAUAGCUAACUUGUAUAAAUCAUUGUCUUUAAUUACAAUUCCACCAAUCCCUGCAUUGUUCACCUGUAUUGAACAACUUUUAUUAGUAAAAUAUGUAAACAUAAAAAUGAUAAGCCAAGAUAUUUCCUUCAAAGCUAUGU
rnacentral:lncRNA from 1 species